ACGUGAACAACCUGCCCUGGAAUCUGGGAUAACCCGAGGAAACUCGAGCUAGUACCGGAUACCUUCCUCUGAUCGCAUGGUCGGAGGAAGAAAGAAUUUCGUUCUAGGAGGGGUUCGCGGCCUAUCAGCUUGUUGGCGGGGUAACGGCCCACCAAGGCAGCGACGGGUAGCUGGAUUGAGAGGUCGAUCAGCCACACUGGGACUGAGACACGGCCCAGACUCCUACGGGAGGCAGCAGUGGGGAAUCUUGCGCAAUGGGCGAAAGCCUGACGCAGCAACGCCGCGUGCGGGAUGACGGCC
rnacentral:rRNA from 1 species